UACGUAGGUCCCGAGCGUUGUCCGGAUGUAUUGGGCGUAAAACGAGCGCAGGUGGUUUAAUAAGUCUGAUGUAAAAGGCAGUGGCUCAACCAUUGUGUGCAUUGGAAACUGUUAGACUUGAGUGCAGUAGAGGAGAGUGGAAUUCCAUGUGUAGCGGUGAAAUGCGUAGAUAUAUGGAGGAACACCGGUGGCGAAAGCGGCUCUCUGGACUGUAACUGACACUGAGGCUCGAAAGCGUGGGUAGCAAACAGG
rnacentral:rRNA from 1 species